rnacentral:rRNA from 1 species
CAAUAGCGUAUAUUAAAGUUGUUGCGGUUAAAAAGCUCGUAGUUGGAUUUCUGCUGAGAACGACCGGUCCGCCCUUUGGGUGUGUAUCUGGCUCUUUCUUGGCAUCUUCUUGGUGAACGUUGCUGCACUUGACUGUGUGGAGCGCUACCCAGGACUUUUACUUUGAGUAAAUUAGAGUGUUCAAAGCAAGCUUACGCUGUGAAUAUAAUAGCAUGGGGUAACACGACAGGACUCUGGCCUAUCGUGUUGGUCUAUAGGACCAGAGUAAUGAUUAAGAGGGACAGUCGGGGGCAUUCGUAUUCCGUUGUCAGAGGUGAAAUUCUUGGAUUUACGGAAGACGAACAUCUGCGAAAGCAUUUGCCAAGGAUGUUUUCAUUGA